UACGAAGGGGGCUAGCAUUGUUCGGAUUUACUGGGCGUAAAGGGCGCGUAGGCGGAUUUUUAAGUCAGGGGUGAAAUCCCAAGGCUCAACCUUGGAACUGCCUUUGAUACUGGGAAUCUUGAGUCCGGGAGAGGUGAGUGGAACUGCGAGUGUAGAGGUGAAAUUCGUAGAUAUUCGCAAGAACACCAGUGGCGAAGGCGGCUCACUGGCCCGGUACUGACGCUGAGGUGCGAAAGCGUGGGGAGCAAACAGG
rnacentral:rRNA from 1 species